UUUUUUUUUUUUGGUAAAAUGUUAAUAUUAUACAAUUUUCAUUUUUUCACAAUCUAUACUAUACUAAAAGUUUUUUAAUUAGAGCUCUCAGCCUAUCCACCUCAGCAAAAAAUUCACUACCUAUCAAAUUGACAUGUCAUCACAAAUAACAAAAAAAAAUCAUUUUUUAUUUUGCUAUCUCACUUUUCGUUUUCUUCCUCAAAUCAAUUUUUCUCAUUAAUAUUCAUCUUCUCAACUUCUUCCCUGUAAAUCCUCCGUAGCUGUUUCUCCCACAUUUACUUCCAUUGGUUAAUUUACCAAGCUUUAUGACACUUUUAGAUUUUCUGAUUUAUUAAUAAUUGAUUUAUAUAUAAGAUUGAACGAUGGCCAAAUUAGAUCCUCACUUUCUCUCGCUAUUAGAUUUCUGGAUUAUGAUCUUAUUGGUUUCAACCCCCCAAAAUCAAUGCGUGGAGGGAUUCAGAUUUGUUAUCCUCAUGUAAUUUUAUAUUGUAGAUCACUGGAUCAACAUAGGUUUGCAAGGGAAAAAAUCUGGGUAAUCGAUGACAAUCUACCUACACGAGUUCAUAAAAUCAUCAUUAGUUGAUCUUCAUCACUAUUUGUUCCACACGAUCUCUCUUAAGCGAUCCACUUCCUUGCUAAAUAUAUUUGUCAACUACAGAUUUCUUCAUGCCUGCAUCAAAAUCAGUUAAUCUUUUUACCUCAUAUCAUUUCUGCAAUCUCUUUUUAGUUUGAAAUAUCAGUAGGGCUUCGCUUUGCUUUGCUGUUCAUCUUACAAAGCUAACAACAAACAUAGAUUGAGAAGGCUUCUGUCUAUAGACUGACUCAGUGCAAUCUUUGAAGAUUUAAGCUGAGAGAUGGCAUGUAAUUUCCAGAUAAACGAUGAACCAAAAAAAAAUCAUUUGCAUGCUGUGUCACGGUUGAAAGCAGUUAACGAGGAAGAAGAUCAAGGAAAAAAGAGCAGAAAGAAGUUGGGAUGUUGGGUUCACUUUAGGGAUUCUUUUUUUUGUCUGCUCUUCACACGAUAUAAUUUUCAUUAAUUAUGAUAGUGAUGAUGCAGUUGUAUGUAAACCAUGGGAAGGUGAAUUUAGGGGACGAUGAGCACAAAAGCAUACUUUGUGUGGAUGGUUAUUACUUUGAAGCAAUGAGAAGAAUGGACCAGCCAGCUUAUAUUAAUCGCUGUUAAGAUCAGUCUCUGCUUUGAUCAACUUGAACAACAGAGCAAAGGAUUCUGAUUUUGUCUGUUUUGGAAUUCCAUCCUAAAAAAAAUCAUCCACUGCAGAGAUCAUGCGGAUGAAUAAGCUUGAUAAUGUAUUUCACUAAAAUCUUAUUGCAGAUGCUGGCUUUUUCUUACCAGUCUUACAAGAAAGGCCCAGCUCCAAGAAGUUGAGCUGGAAAAACAGCCAAGCAGCUCAAAGAGGCGUUUACAAUCUCUAGCGAAGAAACGAUCAGAUGUGCGGCAACAAAAAAAAAGGUUAUCAUAUCUCUUACCGCAUAAGUAAUUUCAAAGCUCAAAAGAAACGACCAGAUGUGCGGAAAUGCCUCACUGAGACUCUUUUACCCCAACCACUUCUCUGAUUUUCCCAGCCCGAGGCAUCUGAGUGCAAAUCUUGGGAUAUAACAUAUCUUCUAUAUAUAAAGAUAGAAAAUUUAAAGUUUUGAAAGUGUUUUACGUCUUCUUUCAUUGUAGUUUGGGGGCUCUGUGGUGUUUAUUGUGAGAAGGUAGUAAUUGUCUUAUGAAAUCAAAGCAAUCUGAUUACUCAAUUAAAAACAGAAAAUUAUUUCAAACCA